rnacentral:rRNA from 1 species
GAUGAACGCUGGCGGCGUGCCUCAAACAUGCAAGUCGAGCGGGGCUAUGUAAUAUCGCAAGGUAGAACAUAGCCUAGCGGCGAACGGGUGAGUAACACGUGGGUAACCUGCCUGGAAGACAGGGAUAACGAUUCGAAAGGGUCGCUAAUACCUGAUAAUAUCCUUUCAUCGCAUGGUGAUAGGAAGAAAGGGGAAACCCGCUUUCAGAUGGGCCCGCGUCCCAUCAGCUAGUUGGUAAGGUAAAGGCUUACCAAGGCGACGACGGGUAGCCGGUCUGAGAGGAUGUACGGCCACACUGGGACUGAGAUACGGCCCAGACUCCUACGGGAGGCAGCAGUUGGGAAUCUUAGGCAAUGGACGAAAGUCUGACCUAGCGACGCCGCGUGAGGGAAGAAGGGCCUUCGGGUUGUAAACCUCUGUCAUGGGGAAGAAGGAAGUGACGGUACCCCAAGAGGAAGCCCCUGCUAACUACGUG